rnacentral:lncRNA from 1 species
AAAGAUAUCCUGGCCCUUCACCCCUCAGCUCUACAAACAGCAGAGAGAUAUCCUGGCCCUUCACCCCUCAGCUCUACAAACAGCAGAGAUUCCUGGCCCUUCACCCCUCAGCUCUACAAACAGCAGAGAGAUAUCCUGGCCUUCACCCCUCAGCUCUACAAACAGCAGAGAGAUAUCCUGGCCCUUCACCGCAGCUCUACAAACAGGAGAGAUAUCCUGGCCCUUCACCCCUAGCUCACAAACAGCAGGAGAUAUCCUGGCCCUUCACCCCUCGCUCUACAAACAGCAGAGAUAUCCUGGCCCUUCAUCAUCCCUCAGCUCUACAAACAGCAGAGAGAUAUCCUGGCCCUUC